rnacentral:rRNA from 1 species
CCUACGGGAGACAGCAGUGAGGAAUAUUGGUCAAUGGACGAGAGUCUGAACCAGCCAAGUAGCGUGAAGGAUGACUGCCCUAUGGGUUGUAAACUUCUUUUAUAUGGGAAUAAAACGUUCCACGUGUGGGAUUUUGUAUGUACCAUAUGAAUAAGGAUCGGCUAACUCCGUGCCAGCAGCCGCGGUAAUACGGAGGAUCCGAGCGUUAUCCGGAUUUAUUGGGUUUAAAGGGAGCGUAGGUGGAUUGUUAAGUCAGUUGUGAAAGUUUGCAGCUCAACCGUAAAAUUGCAGUUGAAACUGGCAGUCUUGAGUACAGUAGAGGUGGGCGGAAUUCGUGGUGUAGCGGUGAAAUGCUUAGAUAUCACGAAGAACUCCGAUUGCGAAGGCAGUUCACUGGACUGCAACUGACACUGAGGCUCGAAAGUGUGGGUAUCAAACAGGAUUAGAUACCCCGGUAGUC